rnacentral:rRNA from 1 species
GACCAGACUCCUACGGGAGGCAGCAGUGGGGAAUAUUGCACAAUGGGGGAAACCCUGAUGCAGCGACGCCGCGUGAGUGAAGAAGUAAUUCGUUAUGUAAAGCUCUAUCAGCAGGGAAGAAAAUGACGGUACCUGAGUAAGAAGCCCCGGCUAACUACGUGCCAGCAGCCGCGGUAAUACGUAGGGGGCAAGCGUUAUCCGGAUUUACUGGGUGUAAAGGGAGCGUAGACGGCUGGUCAAGUCUGAAGUGAAAGCCCGGGGCUUAACCCCGGAACGGCUUUGGAAACUGAGCAGCUAGAGUGCUGGAGAGGUAAGCGGAAUUCCUAGUGUAGCGGUGAAAUGCGUAGAUAUUAGGAGGAACACCAGUGGCGAAGGCGGCUUACUGGACAGUAACUGACGUUGAGGCUCGAAAGCGUGGGGAGCAAACAGGAUUAGAUACCCGCGUA